CCCGGAGACAGCGCGAGGGAUAAAUGCAAGCUGCAUAGACAAUGAGGAGAGCGUGAGGGUUAACGGCUCCUCCGUGUGGUAGCUAGUGGUAGACUGUGAUUCAAAACGAAAAUGUUAAGUCCUGAGGUGUGUGUGGUCUGUUUUUUGUGAGGACGGACUAUUUCCCCGGAUUACAGCCAGUGUAAAUUCCAAUAGUGGGUUUAAUGAAGACAUUUUAGAGUCAACAUUCUAGCACCAGAGGAGGGGUGUUCAUGAACCCUUGUGCUACCUUUGGGGAAACGUUAUUUAAGUGUUAGAAACAUCAUUAAUCUGCAACCAUGUCUACAGAUGUGAGAGGUUUAAGCUACGCUAUUCACUGGUGAUGCAACACUCCUAGUCGAUAUUAUACUGUCCGAAAUACCAACCUUCCUGUCCCUGCUGUCACGUCGAAAGCGGUUAAUGAGCAGCAUGAUUACAUUGUUGCCUCUAUGUCUCUAGUGGUAACCGCCUAUCAGUAUUCUACAUUGCCCUUAUGACUGGGAAUGUAACUUAAUAUAAUAAAACAUUCUUUAUACCAGAGUUUAUCUGGUACGUUCGAUUAAGACCUGUGUGAUUGUUCAACUAUUUUGUUUAAUACCACUUGAAGACAGUGAACAAAUCUGUACACCUACAUACACUUUCUAACAACCCAACAACCCAGGGGCACCGCACCAUGGACAGCGUUCCAGUAGAAACCACCGGCACCUUGGAGAGCGGCACGACAAGCCCGGAUCGAGGCCAUGAGGGGGAGGCCGCCACAGCAGGAGACAACGAGCAAAACAGUAAGGAGUGUGAGGUAGAGACGAGACCGGCCUGAACAGUCAAGACCAAGUGCUGUGCUGUUCGGUCCUGCCUACGGCCCUUGGUGGCUACAACUUUUAUACACAUUAAACCAAUAAAACAUGCUUCACAAGUUUAUAAGGUACAUUCAACAAUUUUGUUUAAUAAAGCAACAUCGUUUCAACAG